AGCUCCAAUAGCGUAUGCUGAUGCUGCUGCGGUUAAAAAGCUCGUAGUUGGAUCUCGGCGGGCGGGGAGCUGCGCGCGUCGUCGCGCUGCGGCUCCUCCGGCCCGCGUCGUGCGGCGGUCCGCGGCGGGGUGCUCUUCGCCGAGCGUCCCGCCGCGCCGCCGGGUUUACCUUGAAAAAAUUAGAGUGCUCCGAGCAGGCCUCCGCCGCCUGAAUAUCUGUGCAUGGAAUAAUGGAAUAGGACGUCGUUUCUAUUGCGUUGGUCUUCGGAACGCGACGUAAUGGUUGACAGGGACGGUCGGGGGCAUGAGUAUUCCGGCGACAGAGGUGAAAUUCUUGGACCGCCGGAAGACUAACAACUGCGAAAGCAUUUGCCAAGAAUGUUUUCG
rnacentral:rRNA from 1 species